rnacentral:misc_RNA from 1 species
CUAAGGAAAACCAAUAAAAUCAAUCAUCUUCAGUUUUGAAAGACUUAGGAUAACUAAGUUUUUCUUCGUGACUUCACGAAGGGCCUAUAGCUCAGUUGGUUAGAGCACACGCCUGAUAAGCGUGAGGUCGGUGGUUCAAGUCCAUUUAGGCCCACCAGAGUUAUAGGUGUCGUAAGAACACAAAUUCUUUGAAAAUUAGGUAAAUAAUAGUUAAUUUUCCGG